rnacentral:ribozyme from 10 species
UUUUUUUUUUUUUUUUUUUUUUUUUUUUUUUUUUUUUUAACCGGAGCCAUUGUGCACACGCGUUGCCUGUGCACGACAAAGAGAUGAAGAACACGAGACGUGGCGGGGGCGCGAGGUGGUCCAGCAAAAAGAAGGAAAAGAAA